rnacentral:rRNA from 1 species
UACGUAGGGUGCAAGCGUUGUCCGGAAUUAUUGGGCGUAAAGAGCUCGUAGGCGGUUUGUUGCGUCGGCUGUGAAAUCCCGAGGCUCAACCUCGGGUCUGCAGUCGAUACGAGCAAACUAGAGUGUUGCAGGGGAGACUGGAAUUCCUGGUGUAGCGGUGAAAUGCGCAGAUAUCAGGAGGAACACCAGCGGCGAAGGCGCUGCUCUGGGCCGGUACUGACGCUGAGGAGCGAAAGCGUGGGGAGCGAACAGG